GACGAACGCUGGCGGCGUGCUUAACACAUGCAAGUCGAACGGAAAGGCCCUGCUUUUGUGGGGUGCUCGAGUGGCGAACGGGUGAGUAACACGUGAGUAACCUGCCCUUGACUUUGGGAUAACUUCAGGAAACUGGGGCUAAUACCGGAUAGGAGCUCCUGCUGCAUGGUGGGGGUUGGAAAGUUUCGGCGGUUGGGGAUGGACUCGCGGCUUAUCAGCUUGUUGGUGGGGUAGUGGCUUACCAAGGCUUUGACGGGUAGCCGGCCUGGGAGGGUGACCGGCGACAUUGGGACUGAGAUAGGGCCCAGACUGCUACGGGAGGCAGCAGUGGGGAAUAUUGCACAAUGGGCGGAAGCCUGAUGCAGCAACGCCGCGUGCGGGAUGACGGCCUUCGGGUUGUAAACCGCUUUCGCCUGUGACGAAGCGUGAGUGACGGUAAUGGGUAAAGAAGCACCGGCUAACUACGUG
rnacentral:rRNA from 1 species